AGAGUUUGAUCCUGGCUCAGAUUGAACGCUGGCGGCAGGCCUAACACAUGCAAGUCGAGCGGUAGAGAGGAGCUUGCUUCUCUUGAGAGCGGCGGACGGGUGAGUAAUGCCUAGGAAUCUGCCUAGUGGUGGGGGAUAACGUUCGGAAACGGACGCUAAUACCGCAUACGUCCUACGGGAGAAAGCGGGGGACCUUCGGGCCUCGCGCCAUUAGAUGAGCCUAGGUCGGAUUAGCUAGUUGGUGAGGUAACGGCUCACCAAGGCGACGAUCCGUAACUGGUCUGAGAGGAUGAUCAGUCACACUGGAACUGAGACACGGUCCAGACUCCUACGGGAGGCAGCAGUGGGGAAUAUUGGACAAUGGGCGCAAGCCUGAUCCAGCCAUGCCGCGUGUGUGAAGAAGGUCUUCGGAUUGUAAAGCACUUUAAGUUGGGAGGAAGGGCAGUAAGCGAAUACCUUGCUGUUUUGACGUUACCGACAGAAUAAGCACCGGCUAACUCUGUGCCAGCAGCCGCGGUAAUACAGAGGGUGCAAGCGUUAAUCGGAAUUACUGGGCGUAAAGCGCGCGUAGGUGGUUGGUUAAGUUGGAUGUGAAAGCCCCGGGCUCAACCUGGGAACUGCAU
rnacentral:rRNA from 1 species